UGGAGAGAAAAUGCCCCGUC
rnacentral:siRNA from 1 species